UCUACGGGUGGCAGCAGUGGGGAAUAUUGGGCAAUGGGCGCAAGCCUGACCCAGCAACGCCGCGUGAAGGAAGAAGGCCUUCGGGUUGUAAACUUCUUUUGUCAGGGACGAAGGAAGUGACGGUACCUGACGAAUAAGCCACGGCUAACUACGUGCCAGCAGCCGCGGUAAUACGUAGGUGGCAAGCGUUAUCCGGAUUUACUGGGUGGAAAGGGUGCGUAGGCGGGCUGUUAAGUCAGCGGUAAAAGCCCGGGGCGCAACCCCGGCGAGCCGUUGAAACUGGCUGUCUUGAGAUGUCGAGAGGUAUGCGGAAUGCGCAGUGUAGCGGUGAAAGGCUUAGAUAUUGCGCAGAACUCCGAUUGCGAAGGCAGCAUACCGGCGGCGAUCUGACGCUGAGGCACGAAAGCGUGGGUAUCGAACAGGAGUAGAGACCCUUGUAGUC
rnacentral:rRNA from 1 species